CAACAUCACAAUGCUAUUAGGCCACCACUUAUAAAUGUCCCUAUAGAUCAGGUAUGCUUACCUGGAUUGCAUGUCAGUAUUGGCAUAUUUGAAAGACUUUAUACUCUUUUUGUUGAAUCCCUACAUACAUUAGAUGUAACCAUAGCCAAUGCUCUGGCAAAUAAAGACAAAAAGGUUGGUAGUGGAGGGUUUCUUACCUUUAUUGAAACACUUAAAGAAGCACAGAAGAGAAGAGUGGAGACAGCUGCAAUCAGUCUAGAGGCUAGGCAAUGUGAAGAACUGGCCACAUACUUUUCGCUGCAUACCGACAAUAACACCUUAGCUGAUGCAUUGCAAUCAAAGGCCAACCAACUACGGGAAAAAGAAAAACAUCUGACAGACAACAUUGAAGAUUCUAAUAAUCUUAAACAAUCUGAUGGACCUUGUGUUCAAAGUUUAAAYGAGACUUUGCACAAAAUAGGUGUUGAUCGACAAGCGUACCAUGGGGGCUCAUUCAAUGGAAACCAUACAYAUAAAUGUCUUUUGGAAAAAAAUGUCACCCUGCUUGCCAACAUUCCCAUUGAAGUGACAAGAAACMUGUGCCCCGAGCUUACACUGGAAGCU